rnacentral:lncRNA from 1 species
CUGCUAUUGACUUCCCAGUGCCACCCUCAGGCCCCAGGCAACUCCAGGCCUUGGGACCCCCUUUUAGCAUCAGAAAUGCCCACCCCUUCCCUCCACUCCUGGAAACUUCCUCCUAUCCUCCCAAGCCCAGCCCUGACACCAUCUCCUCCGCCAGCCUGCCUGGGACUCCCAGGCAGGACUACAUAGACAGCCCAGACCGCCAGGGAGCAGAGUCAGGAGGGAAACCCCAGGGGCCCAGGAGGAUCAGGACAGCUGGCCCAGAGGUGACUCCAUUUGCAUUCGUAUCUGGUGCCUACGUGGGUGGGGUGGAGGGCAGAGGAGCCUAACAACCCCUAGGGACCAUCCCUGUCCCCCAGAUCAUGCUGUUUCUGCUCCCCAAACCCAGACUCGGAGGCAGGUCCAGGGGGUGCUGGAUGGAGGCCG